CCUGGCUCAGAGUGAACGCUGGCGGCGUGCUUAACACAUGCAAGUCGAACGGUAACAGGAAGUAGCUUGCUACUUUGCUGACGAGUGGCGCACGGGUGAGUAAACUAUAGUUAAUGUGCCUCGAAGACUGGGAUAGCCACUGGAAACGGGGAUUAAUACUAGAUACACCUCUUUAACAUAAGUUAGGGUGGGAAAUGUCUUUUCGCUUCGAGAUCAGACUAUAUCCUAUCAGUUAGUUGGUGAGGUAAUAGCUCACCAAGGCAAUGACAGGUAGCGGGUUUGAGAGGAUGAUCCGCCACACUGGUACUGAGACACGGACCAGACUCCUACGGGAGGCAGCAGUGAGGAAUAUUGCACAAUGGGGGAAACCCUGAUGCAGCAACGCCGCGUGGAGGAUGACGCAUUUCGGUGUGUAAACUCCUUUUAUGAGUCAAGAAAAUGACGGUAGCUCAUGAAUAAGCACCGGCUAACUCCGUGCCAGCAGCCGCGGUAAUACGGAGGGUGCAAGCGUUACUCGGAAUCACUGGGCGUAAAGGACGCGUAGGCUGUUUAGUAAGUCUGGUGUGAAAUCCUAUGGCUUAACCAUAGAACUGCACUUGAAACUGGUAGACUAGAGUAUGGAAGGGGGAGAUGGAAUUGGUGGUGUAGGGGUAAAAUCCGUAGAUAUCACUAGGAAUAUCUAAAGCGAAGGCGAUCUCCUGGGACAUAACUGACGCUAAGGCGUGAAAGCGUGGGGAGCAAACAGGAUUAGAUACCCUGGAAGUCCUCGCCCUAAACGAUGUUCACUAGUCGACGCGAUGCUUGUCAUUGCAGUGAUGCACUUAACAGGUUAAAUAUUCCGCCUGGGGAGUACGGUCGCAAGAUUAAAACUCAAAGGAAUAGACGGGGACCCGCACAAGUGGUGGAGCAUGUGGUUUAAUUCGAAGAUACGCGAAGAACCUUACCUAGCCUUGACAUUGAUAGAAUCUGAUAGAAAUAUUGGAGUGCCAGUUUACUGGAGCUUGAAAACAGGUGCUGCACGGCUGUCGUCAGCUCGUGUCGUGAGAUGUUGGGUUAAGUCCCGCAACGAGCGCAACCCUCGUCCUUAGUUACUAACGGUUCGGCCGAGGACUCUAAGGAGACUGCCUUCGUAAGGAGGAGGAAGGUGAGGACGACGUCAAGUCAUCAUGGCCCUUACGGCUAGGGCGACACACGUGCUACAAUGGAUAGGACAAUGAGACGCAAUACCGCGAGGUGGAGCAAAUCUAUAAACCUAUUCUCAGUUCGGAUUGUAGUCUGCAACUCGACUACAUGAAGCUGGAAUCACUAGUAAUCGUAGAUCAGCCAUGCUACGGUGAAUACGUUCCCGGGUCUUGUACUCACCGCCCGUCACACCAUGGGAGUUGAUUUCACCCGAAGCGGGGAAGCUAAACUGGCUACCCUCCACGGUGGAAUCAGCGACUGGGGUGAAGUCGUAACAAGGUAACCGUAGGAGAA
rnacentral:rRNA from 1 species